UGGCGGUGAUUGAAUAUUUAUCUAUUCUUUUUAGAGAAAUCGAUGAAGCAGAGAUGAAAAGCAUGGUUGAAAUUCUUGAUAUGAGUCG